AUGGGGCGGUCCGCCCCGAACAUGCUGGCAAUGGCCGCGCCGUGCUGCCGGACCGUGCCGAUGCGGCUGGGCCCGCCAGGAGCCGGCGUGCCGCCAACAGGGCGGUCCAUCUCGCGCUGGGAGCCGCUCCUGUGGAGAAGACCUAGCCGCUGCUCCUCCCGCACUCGCGCCGCCCCCUUUCCUCUUCCUCCUGCCUCAUCUCUCUCUCCCCCUCGACCCGCCCCCGCCUCCCUGCCCCGCCGCCAUCCAGAUCGCUUCCGCUCGCCCUCGCCUCGCCGCGUCGUCUCCUCCUCCCUGCCCUCUCGGUGCUCCGAGCGCGGCUCGCUCGACCUAGCCCGCAUCUCCGGCGUUGUGCGCUGUGGUUCUGGUCCGGUCGCAGGUCGCAGCCAUGGGAAAGCACGGGCAGAAUGGAAGAGCAGAGGAGGUCGGCGGUGGGGGAAGGAGCAGCGAGGAGCUCAAUCUGGAUGCCGCCGCCGCCGGAUGAGGAGCCCAAAAAAUUCCCCAACCCCCCAGCGCCGCUGCCUCUCCUUCGACCAUGGGUUGCAGCGGCCAGAGAACCAGGGGCAGCUGGUUUCUAGGGGAGCUACGUACUUAUAUGCAGCGGCAACUACUAACAUCAGGUUAAUUAUAUGCUUUGUACAUGGCGAUGUUACUGAACAGAAGGAGAUAGAACAUGACGAUGCUCUCUUAGUUUGGUUCCUCCUCCGCUGAAGGAUAUAGGAAUCACCAGCAGCCCUUCCGUUCUGAGGAAGCGCUCAACCUGGAUGUUGUUGGCCGAAGGAGGGGCGGAGCAGGUGCCAGUCAGGUAGGCGGCUCAGCGGGUGGGAGAUGGAGGCUGCCGAUCUCACACAGCUCCUGCGCCCCGCUACCCUCUCCUCCCCGGCUAAGCAGGAGGUUCGAGGACAGCGACUAAGGAAGGAGCACAUCAGCGAUGAGGGCUAGCAGCAGCAAGACUAGAUAUUCCAUUGCCAUAUGAUUUGUGAUCAUUUUCUCGCUCAUUCCUAGAGGAAGUGCUAUGGAUAAUCUGAUUGAGCUGACUAAGAUACAUGCUUUUUUCUUUACCUGGCAUCUGCUUCUCUUAAAUUUUCUACAAUCCUUCCUUUACAUGCUGGUAUAUUUUGCUGCCAGGCUCAGAUCGGCGAGACCCGUGCCAAUGCAUGAGGCAAUAUUUUUCUUGUUUAUUCCUUCCAUACAUAUUGAGUUCAUUCACGCUAUUAUGUAUACUGAUUAAACAGUACAUGUUGGGCCAAUAAUUAGAUGCUACUGGUACUUGCGUUCAUUUCUCAUGUUUAUGUUCAGGCCUAACCUCACAAAACUUUGGUAUGCACUCACAUAUAAUCAGGGCUUGCUUAUUUUAAUUCUAAUAUUAUAUCAUUAUUAUUUGUAAUCAUUUUGUCGUUUAGGAUUUCCAAUUGUGUAAUAUUCCAUCAUACUCCUAUGCAUUGGCCAGGUACUGAACUUUGGCUGGUUGUCAAUAUAAGCUUUGUGUUCUCCUUUGUUUUUACUACUGGAAGCUGCUUGACAACUCACCGUACCCAAUCUAGGUUUCCCAUCUGUGUUUCUCCAUCUUCCUCCCCAAAAAUUUUCUUUAGUUCCUUGAGAAUCUGAUUUUAAUAUUUGAUUCAUUGUUUUUCUAAGCACAAUGUGUGCAGAUCUGAGGCAGAAAAGAAGAGGAAGAAUCUGAAGAUUUGGGUGAAUGGUGAUGAAGAACAGGGUGAAAUCUCACUCUCUCUCUCAGCCACUUUAUUCCUGCAUCUUGAUUUUGAUGUUAUGAUUUGUUCUACGCCUUUUCAGAUUAAACUUUGAACCAUCUAAAUGCCUUUGUUCAAUGAAUCUGAGUUUGCCACUCCUUAUACUACUAGGAUGACACCAAUUGCUAAUUAGUUGAUGAAUAUGUCAAUUGCUGCUGUACUACACAGGGAUUGAAGAAGAAACUGUUAUUAUUGUGAUUGUGCAUAGGUAAGGUUACUGGAACUAAACUUCAUGUUUCAUGGAGACAACAAGGACUCCACAAAGCUUCAGAUUCUUAUAUUUGUGAUUGCGAGAUUUUUUGUAGUUAUUUAAUUUUUCAAUCCAAAUGAAAGAUUUCAUUCAACCUACGGUGUAUUAUAUUACUAAUUGUUAAUACCUUUUUGGCGUCGGUAAAGAAACAGUGCAGUGACCUGGACUGAAAUAAUGAGCAACUUUAAUCAUGAUGCAUAUGGCCUCAUUUUAAUUGAAUUAUGAAGAAGUUUUGCUCUGUUUUGUGUAUUGUUAUCUGGGGUUUAGCUAUGUGGUAUACAAUUAAUGGGAAAUUGCUUUUUUUCCUUUAAUAUUGAAAGCUAGAGAACUGGAGGUAGAGUAAUAAAAGCUGCUUCUUUGGAGAGUUUUUUGUGCAGAGUGAUGCAUGCAUAAUAUUAUCCUCAUUAUGUUCUCUUUGCAUGUUCUAUUGUAGGAAGCAGAUGCUAUCAAGAUCAUGUCAAAGGCGAUGCUCAUUCCCGUUCUUAGUGAGAUGGAUUUACUCGAUGCAAGGUAUGAGCAUUGCAGACUCUGGCGAGCUGUUGAAGGUCGACGAGGAGGGCGCUGCCACCACCGUUAUCAGGCUGGUCCACAUCCACGCGCUGCUCGGCGUCACCAGGUCACCGGCACAACUCCUCACGCCCAGGUCGUUCAACAUUUUCUUCCGCUUUUGGUGCGUCACAUUUAGUCCUUCUUUCCCAUUUUACCGUGUUUGCAUGGUAAGAUGUUUGGUUGGAUUUGAAGGUUCGUAGCCUUGGCUCCAAAGCUUCAAGCUCUUAUAGAAAUUAGAAUUGAGGGCCUUUUAAAAUGAGCCAUGCAUAAUAGUGUUGUUCAGUCGGAUGCAUAAUUUUUGUUUGUCUGAUCAGCUAUCCUUGGUGCUGAUUUUACGUAUUGAUUUCAUCAUCAUAUGACUACAAUAAAGAAGCUGUGUGUAUAAAUAUUACUAACUGCUGAUACUUUGCAUCAGUGAUUUCAAUUCUGUUGGCCUCCUUA